rnacentral:rRNA from 1 species
AAUGGGGGAAACCCUGAUCCAGCCAUGCCGCGUGAGUGAUGAAGGCCUUAGGGUCGUAAAGCUCUUUCGCCUGGGAUGAUAAUGACAGUACCAGGUAAAGAAACCCCGGCUAACUCCGUGCCAGCAGCCGCGGUAAUACGGAGGGGGUUAGCGUUGUUCGGAAUUACUGGGCGUAAAGCGCACGUAGGCGGACUGUUAAGUUAGAGGUGAAAUCCCGGGGCUCAACCCCGGAACUGCCUUUAAUACUGGCAGUCUAGAGUUCGAGAGAGGUGAGUGGAAUUCCGAGUGUAGAGGUGAAAUUCGUAGAUAUUCGGAGGAACACCAGUGGCGAAGGCGGCUCACUGGCUCGAUACUGACGCUGAGGUGCGAAAGUGUGGGGAGCAAACAGGAUU